AAAUGAAUUGACGGGGGCCCGCACAAGCAGUGGAUUAUGUGGUUUAAUUCGAAGCAACGCGAAGAACCUUACCAGGUCUUGACAUACCACGAGUAGGCUAGAGAUAGCUGAUGCCCUUCGGGGCGUGGAUACAGGUGGUGCAUGGUUGUCGUCAGCUCGUGUCGUGAGAUGUUGGGUUAAGUCCCGCAACGAGCGCAACCCUUACUAUUAGUUGCUACGCAAGAGCACUCUAAUGGGACUGCCGUUGACAAAACGGAGGAAGGUGGGGAUGAUGUCAAAUCAUCAUGCCCUUUAUGACCUGGGCUACACACGUAAUACAAUGGCGCUAUAACAACGGGCAGCGAAAGAGCGAUCUGGAGCGAAUCUCGAAAAAGCGUCUCAGUUCGGAUUGCAGGCUGCAACUCGCCUGCAUGAAGUCGGAAUUGCUAGUAAUCGCGGAUCAUCAUGCCGCGGUGAAUACGUUCCCGGGCCUUGUACACACCGCCCGU
rnacentral:rRNA from 1 species